GGAAUAUUGCACAAUGGGCGCAAGCCUGAUGCAGCCAUGCCGCGUGUAUGAAGAAGGCCUUCGGGUUGUAAAGUACUUUCAGCGGGGAGGAAGGUGUUGCGGUUAAUAACCGCAGCAAUUGACGUUACCCGCAGAAGAAGCACCGGCUAACUCCGUGCCAGCAGCCGCGGUAAUACGGAGGGUGCAAGCGUUAAUCGGAAUUACUGGGCGUAAAGCGCACGCAGGCGGUCUGUCAAGUCGGAUGUGAAAUCCCCGGGCUCAACCUGGGAACUGCAUUCGAAACUGGCAGGCUGGAGUCUUGUAGAGGGGGGUAGAAUUCCAGGUGUAGCGGUGAAAUGCGUAGAGAUCUGGAGGAAUACCGGUGGCGAAGGCGGCCCCCUGGACAAAGACUGACGCUCAGGUGCGAAAGCGUGGGGAGCAAACAGGA
rnacentral:misc_RNA from 1 species